rfam:Oryza punctata chromosome 11, whole genome shotgun sequence.
UUUAAGCGCAGCCAUGAGUUUCCGUGUUCAAUUAUAAUCGUCUAUCUUAUUUGAUUUUUUUAUGAUUAGUUUUUUUAUUGUUAUUAGAUGAUAAAAUAUGAAAAGUACUUUAUGCAUGACUUAUGUUUUCAAAAAAAAUUCAAAUAAGACGGAUUAUUAAAGUUGGACACGGAACCUCAUGGUUGUGUUUAAA